rnacentral:tRNA from 1 species
AUAUUUUGUUAUUUAGAUUUAUUGCUAGUUCCAUGUUUUGACGCAGUUUUGCAGUACAAUUCCCUUAUUUUUUUUGAUCAUAUCUACACUUCAUCUUUAUCCGG